CAGAGACACGGACGCGUUCAAACCUUCCCAAACCUCAACUAAAGGGUCUGCAGCAGCUGUGGAGGCAUGCGCCCUGUUCCGGCCUAACGCGCAGCUGUGCGCUCACGUUUGGAUACAUCAGCGUCUCCUCCGCAGGAUUUCCGCGACGAUGAAGGAACAAACAGGACCUCCUGGUAGAACGAAAGGCUUUUCAGCAGAUUAUGUCUGCUGAGGGACAGACUACAUCCUGGAUGGGUCAUAAAUCCAUCAAAGGAUUUUUGUCAUCACAUCCCAGAUAUCACCUGAAGUCUACACCAUCCAGAUGAUAGACGUCACAUGAUGGUGGAGCAGCAGACUCAUUCUAUCCCUGCAUCCAGCAGAUGUCUGGGUGGAUGUCGAACAUCCUGCAGCUAAAUGCAGACAGAAGAAGGACAUUUUCUGCCUGGAGAAACAUAGAAGAUCUGGAAAUAGUCGCUUUCAGUCUCUAUAACAUGCAAAUAGGGAUAGAAAUCCAGGGGUCAUCAUGGAAAUCAAUUGUAACAAUAGACUCCAGAACUUAACAGGCACUAUAAAUCUAUAGAAUUAUCAGAAUUUUACCAUCUUCAAACAGAACCAAAAGCUCUGUCCAAACCAAACCAGGAGAAACUUAAGAGUUUAUUUCCCGCAGCUGUUUCUCCAGAAACUGAUGUUCAGGUUCUGACUAAAGCCAGGAAUGGGAACCACCAACUCUUGCUGGUCACACAUAAGACGGCCCACAAGCUCAGCACUGGACCUUCUCUUGGAGUCCAGAGUCAACCCUAAACACGGUGAUGUUUAGUGAAGACAAAACCUGGAAUCAUUUCCUGAACUUCUACUUUGUCAAUGUAGACAUCCAGAACCAGAACGGUUCUGCUGAAGGCCUUUUCUUUUUUUUUUACUCUGUUCUCUUUACUGUGGUUUCAUGAUUUUAAUUUAAACAUUUGAUUUAACUGUUUUUCUUGGGAUUAUUUUUACUUUUACAUUUGUGAAUUUACUGUA